CACGUAGGGUGCGAGCGUUGUCCGGAAUUAUUGGGCGUAAAGAGCUCGUAGGCGGUGUGUCGCGUCAGCCGUGAAAACCUGCAGCUUAACUGUGGGCUUGCGGUCGAUACGGGCAUCACUGGAGUUCGGCAGGGGAGACUGGAAUUCCUGGUGUAGCGGUGAAAUGCGUAGAUAUCAGGAGGAACACCGGUGGCGAAGGCGGCUCUCUGGACGGUGACUGACGCUGAGACGCGAAAGCGUGGGGAGCAAACAGG
rnacentral:rRNA from 1 species